CAGUCGCCGCGGUAAUACGUAGGGUGCGAGCGUUAAUCGGAAUUACUGGGCGUAAAGCGUGCGCAGGCGGUUUUGUAAGACAGAGGUGAAAUCCCCGGGCUCAACCUGGGAACUGCCUUUGUGACUGCAAGGCUAGAGUACGGCAGAGGGGGAUGGAAUUCCGCGUGUAGCAGUGAAAUGCGUAGAUAUGCGGAGGAACACCGAUGGCGAAGGCAAUCCCCUGGGCCUGUACUGACGCUCAUGCACGAAAGCGUGGGGAGCAAACAGGAUUAGAUACCCCCGUAGUCCCUGUCUCUUAUAC
rnacentral:rRNA from 1 species